UACAGAGGGUGCAAGCGUUAAUCGGAAUUACUGGGCGUAAAGCGUGCGCAGGCGGUGAUGUAAGACAGAUGUGAAAUCCCCGGGCUCAACCUGGGAACUGCAUUUGUGACUGCAUCGCUGGAGUGCGGCAGAGGGGGAUGGAAUUCCGCGUGUAGCAGUGAAAUGCGUAGAUAUGCGGAGGAACACCGAUGGCGAAGGCAAUCCCCUGGGCCUGCACUGACGCUCAUGCACGAAAGCGUGGGGAGCAAGCAGG
rnacentral:rRNA from 1 species